CCUACGGGAGGCAGCAGUGAGGAAUAUUGGUCAAUGGGCGCGAGACUGAACCAGCCAAGUAGCGUGAAGGAUGACUGCCCUACGGGUUGUAAACUUCUUUUAUAAAGGAAUAAAGUGAGGCACGUGUGCCUUUUUGUAUGUACUUUAUGAAUAAGGAUCGGCUAACUCCGUGCCAGCAGCCGCGGUAAUACGGAGGAUCCGAGCGUUAUCCGGAUUUAUUGGGUUUAAGGGGAGCGUAGAUGGGUUGUUAAGUCAGUUGUGAAAGUUUGCGGCUCAACCGUAAAAUUGCAAUUGAGACUGGCAGUCUUGAGUACAGUUGAGGUAGGCGGAAUUCGUGGUGUAGCGGUGAAAUGCUUAGAUAUCACGAAGAACUCCGAUUGCGAAGGCAGCUUACUAAACUGCCACUGACAUUGAUGCUCGAAAGUGUGGGUAUCAAACAGGAUUAGAUACCCUUGUAGUC
rnacentral:rRNA from 1 species